AUUGAACGCUGGCGGCAUGCCUUACACAUGCAAGUCGAACGGUAACGCGGGGCAACCUGGCGACGAGUGGCGAACGGGUGAGUAAAGCAUCGGAACGUGCCCAGUAGUGGGGGAUGAGCCCGGCGAAAGCCGGAUUAAUACCGCAUACGACCUACGGGUGAAAGCGGGGAGUCGCAAGACCUCGCGCUAUUGGAGCGGCCGAUGUCAGAUUAGGUAGUUGGUGGGGUAAAGGCCUACCAAGCCGACGAUCUGUAGCUGGUCUGAGAGGACGACCAGCCACACUGGGACUGAGACACGGCCCCAGACUCCUACGGGAGGCAGCAGUGGGGAAUUUUGGGACAACAGGCGCAAGCCUGAUCCAGCCAUGCCGCGUGCGGGAAGAAGGCCUCGGGUUGUAAACCGCUUUUGUCAGGGAAGAAAUCCUCUGAGCUAACACCUCGGGGGGAUGACGGUACCUGAAGAAUAAGCACCGGCUAACUACGUGCCAGCAGCCGCGGUAAUACGUAGGGUGCGAGCGUUAAUC
rnacentral:rRNA from 1 species